rnacentral:rRNA from 1 species
GAUCAUGGCUCAGGAUGAACGCUGGCGGCGUGCCUAACACAUGCAAGUCGAACGAAGAUGUAUUUCAGAUCCUUUCGGGGUGACGAGAUGCAGACUUAGUGGCGGACGGGUGAGUAAUGUAUGAGCAACCUGCCUUCAAGAGGGGAAUAACAGUCGGAAACGACUGCUAAUACCGCAUAACAAAGCGUAGUCGCAUGACAAUGCUUUCAAAGGAGCAAUCCG